AGAGUUUGAUCCUGGCUCAGGACGAACGCUGGCGGUGUGCUUCACACAUGCAAGUCGAACGAGGUAGCAAUACCUAGUGGCGGACGGGUGAGUAACGCGUGGGAAUCUGCCCAAGGGUGGGGGAUAACUAGCCGAAAGGUUAGCUAAUACCGCAUAUGCCGUGAGGUAAAAGGAGUAAUCCGCCCCUGGAUGAGCCUGCGUCCGAUUAGCUAGUUGGUAGGGUAAAGGCCUACCAAGGCUACGAUCGGUAGCUGGUCUGAGAGGAUGAUCAGCCACAAUGGGACUGAGACCCGGCCCAUACUCCUACGGGAGGCAGCAGUGGGGAAUUUUACGCAAUGGGGGAAACCCUGACGUAGCGACACCGCGUGAGCGAAGAAGCCCUUUGGGGUGUAAAGCUCUGUCAGCAGGAACGAAUAAAAUGACGGUACCUGCAGAGGAAGCAUCGGCUAACUACGUGCCAGCAGCCGCGGUAAGACGUAGGAUGCAAGCGUUGUCCGGAUUCAUUGGGCGUAAAGAGUUCGUAGGCGGUUUGUUAAGUCUGAUGUUAAAGAUCGGGGCCUAACCCUGGGAGUGCAUUGGAUACUGGCAGACUGGAGUACAGUAGAGGCGAGUGGAAUUCCCAGUGUAGCGGUGAAAUGCGUAGA
rnacentral:rRNA from 1 species